GGCAGACGGGUGAGUAAUGUAUAGGAAUCUACCUAGUAGUACGGAAUAAUUGUUGGAAACGGCAACUAAUACCGUAUACGCCCUACGGGGGAAAGAUUUAUUGCUAUUAGAUGAGCCUAUAUUAGAUUAGUUAGUUGGUGAGGUAAAGGCUUACCAAGACAAUGAUCUAUAGCUGAUCUGAGAGGAUGAUCAGCCACACUGGAACUGAGACACGGUCCAGACUCCUACGGGAGGCAGCAGUGGGGAAUAUUGGACAAUGGGCGAAAGCCUGAUCCAGCCAUGCCGCAUGAGUGAAGAAGGCCUUCGGGUUGUAAAGCUCUUUUAGUGAGGAAGAUAAUGACGGUACUCACAGAAGAAGUCCUGGCUAACUCCGUGCCAGCAGCCGCGGUAAUACGGAGAGGGCUAGCGUUAUUCGGAAUCAUUGGGCGUAAAGGGCGCGUAGGCGGGUUAGUAAGUUAAAAGUGAAAUCCCAAGGCUCAACCUUGGAACUGCUUUUAAAACUGCUAGUCUAGAGAUUGAAAGAGGAUAGAGGAAUUCCUAGUGUAGAGAUGAAAUUCGUAAAUAUUAGGAGGAACACCAGUGGCGAANGCGUCUAUCUGG
rnacentral:rRNA from 1 species